rnacentral:rRNA from 2 species
GAUGAACGCAGGCGGUGUGCCUAAUACAUGCAAGUCGUACGCAAUGGCCCAGAUGAUAAACAGUGCUUGCACCUGAUUGACGAUGGAUCGCCAGUGAGUGGCGGACGGGUGAGUAACACGUAGGUAACCUGCCCCGGAGUGGGGGAUAACAUUUGGAAACAGAUGCUAAUACCGCAUAACAACAAAAGCCACAUGGUUUUUGUUUGAAAGAUGGCUUUGGCUAUCACUCUGGGAUGGACCUGCGGUGCAUUAGCUAGUUGGUAAGGUAACGGCUUACCAAGGCGAUGAUGCAUAGCCGAGUUGAGAGACUGAUCGGCCACAAUGGAACUGAGACACGGUCCAUACUCCUACGGGAGGCAGCAGUAGGGAAUCUUCCACAAUGGGCGCAAGUCUGAUGGAGCAACACCGCGUGAGUGAAGAAGGGCUUCGGCUCGUAAAGCUCUGUUGUUGGAGAAGAACGUGAGUGAGAGUAACUGUGCACGCAGUGACGGUAACAUCCAUGAGGACCGCCUC